UCUGCACCAUUCAGGGCAGCAGCACCAGGUAGUUUGGGAUUUGAACUUUGCUGUCAGAGGAUAAGAGCAUGACUUCACUUUGUAGACAAGUUUGUUGGCUCCUCUAUCCUCCCCAAAGCAGGGAUGCCUCUUUGGACUCCUGGGUUGUGUUUCCAAGGAAGAUAGCAUCCCCUAACCAGCACAGCAUCCUUAGCCUUGAUCCUAGACCCUACCAUGCUGACAAUGCCAACUUUGAUUGACGCUGGAGUACUCCCAAAUGCCAAGCAGCUGGAGGAGGCUGCACUUUGCUUUCAGCCCAGGCUUUAGCAUUUGCCUGGUAUCUGAAGGGACGUUUCAAGACCCAUUUGAAGUAGAGAGAAGAGGCUAGGUGUCCUGUGGAGAACCAGAGUCUCAGCAUCAAAAGUUAAUUCAUGUCAGACUUGGAUUUUAUUGUAAAAAAGGCCAAAUCAUCCUUAAAUGCCUCGAAAGCUGGAAUACACCAGACAUCCUGUGGAAUGAGGUAUUUGUAGUAGGUGGGGCUGUCUGGUGAUGGUUACUGGUAUGGGGGAAGGCUGCAUCUGAAAUGCUGAUUCUUCCCAGAGCCAUGGCAAUUCCAACCUCCUCAGUAGCUUCCCACACCUGAUUGUCACCUAAGCAGCCAGGUGAUGGGUGCUCUCCUCCCCAGUACUGGUGGGAUGCUUUACAGUUUGCCACCCAAAGGACAGAUCAUAGAAUCAUCAUAGAAUCACAGAAUGGUUUGGGUUGGAGGGAACCUUAAAGACCAUCUAGUUCCAAACCCCUGCCAUGAGGGCAGAUAGGCUUUCAGUAUGCUUUAAACAUAAGACCUGACUCAGCAGAACCACAUGUAUGCACCCCAGCUGCAGAGCUGCCCAUUGUAUCAAAUCUAUAGGGGAGAUGAAAACAUAAGUGGCUUUUCAUCAGGUAAGAUGACUGAUUAUGCUUAGGAGCCCUGAUGGUGCCAUGUGUUUUGGAUGCUCUAUUAAAUAUCUGAUUUUUAGCUAAAAUUUCAGCUCAAUGUGGACAAGUUAUCAUACAGCUGCCUGCUAUGAAGGUCUUGAGCUUUCCCUGAAUCAUCUAACAGCAGGCAGAGAUGGGGCCAUGGGUUGGUGGAGCCUCUGCCAGGCUGUUUCCAGCACCCACGGGGAAUACAGACCACAGCAAAUGCCAGAAAACAAACUUUCUGAUCUAAAUUGUGCCUAUUGACAAACAACUGUGCUAGAAAUCAAUCUUGUUACUCCCUGGAUGUCAGCACUUCUUAUAUUUAAAAGAAAAAAACCCUCAACCUUGCUCUUAUUUUAGUGCUGUUUUUUUUUUAGCCUUACUUGCUUGCAAACUUUUUAUUAAAAGAAGAAUUUGAUGGUUUUGAGUGAGCACAUAUGGUUCAUGGAAGCCAGACGUGCUGAGUGAUGCUCUCAGAGCAGAGUUGGCAUUUACAAGUGCACACACCCAAAAGCAAACCGUAGGGUGGAUUAGCCCGUGCUAUUCCCAUGCCCUUACCAGCCUACAUGCAUCUCUCAGCCAUGCUUAGUCACAC